GAACUAGUUCUUGGUUGCUCUCUGUCUUCCUGCAAUUCCUUCUACGUCUCUUUUUUCAUCCUAUCGUGUUCUCAGGUACGCUUCCUUGUUCUUCCAUGGCCAGUUUAAAGCUUCCUGAUGUUUUUGACCUUGAGUCGUAUAUUACCCCUUCCAACAUAACUAAUCACAUUUCUCGGAGGCUUUUAGAUACUCCGUUGUAUCUUAUUCGAGCACCUCUUCCAAAUGAGAGGAUAGUGCUUCCUUACCCUCGCCCACCUGGUUUAGUGGAUCCCCAAGAGGUUCGUAGCAUAGUGU
rnacentral:lncRNA from 1 species